GACGAACGCUGGCGGCGUGCUUAACACAUGCAAGUCGAACGGAAAGGCCCUGCUUUUGUGGGGUGCUCGAGUGGCGAACGGGUGAGUAACACGUGAGUAACCUGCCCUUGACUUUGGGAUAACUUCAGGAAACUGGGGCUAAUACCGGAUAGGAGCUCCUGCUGCAUGGUGGGGGUUGGAAAGUUUCGGCGGUUGGGGAUGGACUCGCGGCUUAUCAGCUUGUUGGUGGGGUAGUGGCUUACCAAGGCUUUGACGGGUAGCCGGCCUGAGAGGGUGACCGGCCACAUGGGGCCUGAGGUACGGCCCAGACUCCUACGGGAGGCAGCGGUGGGGAAUAUUGCACAAUGGGCGGAAGCCUGAUGCAGCAACGCCGCGUGCGGGAUGACGGCCUUCGGGUUGUAAACCGCUUUCGCCUGUGACGAAGCGUGAGUGACGGUAAUGGGUAAAGAAGCACCGGCUAACUACGUG
rnacentral:rRNA from 1 species